rnacentral:rRNA from 1 species
UUUCGCAAUGCCCGAAAGGGUGACGAAGCGACGCCGCGUGGGUGAGGAAGGCCCUCGGGUUGUAAAGCCCUGUCAGGAGUUAAGAAAUGUAGGUACGCUAAUAUCGUAUCUAUUUGACAAAGGCUCCAAAGGAAGCCACGGCUAACUCUGUGCCAGCAGCCGCGGUAAUACAGAGGUGGCAAGCGUUGUUCGGAAUUAUUGGGCGUAAAGAGCACGUAGGUGGAUUUGUAAGUCAGAUGUGAAGGCCUUCUGUUCAACGGGAGAAAUGCAUCUGAAACUACAAACCUUGAGUAUAGGAGGGGAGAAUGGAACCUCUGGUGGAGCGGUGAAAUGCGUAGAUAUCAGAAGGAACGCCGGCGGCGAAAGCGAUUCUCUGGCCUAUUACUGACACUCAGUGUGCGAAAGCUAGGGGAGCAAACGGGAUUAGAUACCCCGGUAGUCCUAGCCGUAAACGAUGGGCACUAAGUAGAGGGGUUUUAA